rnacentral:lncRNA from 1 species
GCAGAAACGGAGGGUGCCGGUCCGGUUGACGCAGUAGAUGGUGUUGCCCAAGGCGGCGCAGCGGAAGGGCUGGACGGGGCCACCACUAGGCCGCAGGCUGGCACACUGGCUCCAGCGCUUGGCCACCGUGUUGUAGCGGAAAACUUCCACGCCGCCACUGGUGCCCCCACCCGGGCCCUGCUCUCCACCGCGGCCGCUGCUGACGUCAAAGCGGUAGAUGAAGUUCUUGAAGGCCACCAUGUCAGCAGAGCGCCGGCGGCUGCUGUUGUAAGGGCACUCCUGCCACUCGUCGCGCUUGGGGUCGUACUUGAGCAGGCGGUAGAAGAGGGACCCCCCCGAAACGUAGAUCUCCCCGUUGCAGGUGGUGGCCUCGUGAGCCACAGCAAAGGCACCCUUGGGCAGAGGCGCCACGGGGCUCCAGCGGUCAGCCCGCGGGUCGUACUUCUCCACGGUGAAGAGGCACUCGCCCCCCACAGCAUAGAGGUAGCCGUCCAGAGCCAGCAGCUUGAGCUGCGAGCGGGGCUGCGCCAGCGGGCGCACCUGGCUCCAGGUGUCGGUGAGGGGGUUGUAGCAGAAGACCUUGUCGGAGAGGCGGGCCCGGGGCUCGCUGCCCGCCGGCCCCGCCGCAAUGCCCCCCGCCAGGAAGAGGUAGUUGUGGAGGACGCACAUGGCGCAGCCCUUGGCGUUGGCCUCCUCGGGCAGGCGCGUCAGCACCCUCCACUCGCGGCUGGCCUCGUGGUAGCAGUGGAUGAGGGAGCCGCUGUCCUCCAGCGACACCACGGAGGAGGGGCUCUGCGGGCGGCUGCUCUCGCGACUCUGGGGCCGGCUGCCGCCGCCUGGCCGCUCGAAGGCGUCGCUGACCUCGGCCACCAAGAGGCAGCGCCGGCCAGCCUCCAGCCGCCGCUGCAGAAUGAGGUCCCUCUCGGCACCGCUGAGGCGGCCAUAGACACCCGGCUCCCGCAGCACCUCCAGGUAGUGGUCGCUCAUGAAGCGGUAGGCGGCCUCCCGCAGCUCCGCCAGCCGCUGCUUCUUGGCCAGGCACAGCAGCUGGUAGCAGUUGUCGAGGCGGAGCUGGGCGCGCAUGGCCUCGGCGGCACAGUGCAGGGCGCAGGGCAUCUGGAGGACGCGGGCGCCGCUCACCACCUCGGCCAGGUUGUCGUGGCGCACCUCGCCCAUGCGGGCGGUGUAGACAUAGUCGAUGAGGAGCCGCAGUGCCCCAUAGCUCACCCCCUUCACCCGCAGGAUGUCCCGCGAGGCGCGGGCGCGGAAAUAAUCGCUCUUGGCUGCCAGCACCGACUUGUGAGCCCGGAUGCGCUGCCCUGA